GGAGGUGAGGGCCAUCAGGCUGCUAGGCAGGUGUGCCCUUUCUCAUCACCACACCAAAAGCAUCCUUCCUGCAGCUGUGCACUCAGUGGAAGAGCACAAACCCCCGAAAGAGGAAGAUAUCUCCUUGGUCAUGAGUAUUCAAGUAGCUGCACUUCGCUGCUGGAACCUCCAAAGAAGCUCUCAAAUACGCACUCUGAAUUUCAACCCUGAACAUUACCACAGGUGAUUGGAUAUUGUCACGUUUU
ensembl:misc_RNA 7SK 7SK RNA